AGGAGCAAGCAAAGAAAAGGGUAAAUCCUACCUACCCCACCCUAAAAUACAAAGUAUCAGACAGAAUCCACUGGAAGCUGUGGCCCAUUUCAAAGGUGCUGGCAACAUCGAGGGAGUCAUAUCCGCAAAAAUCCGAACGACUCAGAUAAAAAGACGUUGCAAAGUAUUUCUGUGCUUGUGCAUUUGCUUCAAGGACAUGGAGAAGCAAAUCUUAAAGCAAUAUGAUCUGAUCAAGAAACAGCUGGAAAUGGCAGCAACCUGAUAUGGAGCAAUCAAGAAUUGAAGGUUUAUUUUGAAUGAGAGGUGUUGUCCAACUGUGAGACUGAGCGAUUGCAGCUGCGAAUAAGUGCUAACACAAUCAAUAGUGACUCCAGUUCUUAUAACUCUGUAACGACACUGAUGGGGUCACUUACCACACAGAAUACAAACAUAAAUAAGAUGAAUUUUCGAACUCAGCGAGAUCAAAAUUCAUUUGUUUGCUUCACCUACUCCUUCCCAACUAGCAUUCUCACUAGACAAUUUCAGUUGGAAAAAAAGGCACUUAUCUUAGAACCUUAGGAGGUAAGCUGGAGCUGGGCAGCUUUUACAGUUUUUGGAACGGUUGAGACUAUGCUUAGAUAUAAAGCACUCUUUUUCAUGUAGUUACCGUUAUAAUGCAAAGUGAAGAAGCAAAUCAUUCAGAGCACAAUCAGUGAGUCCGGGGUAUUGAAACAUUCCUCUUAGCAAUAUCGAGUUACUUUAUUUGUUCAUGAAGUACUUGAAAGUUGAGAAAGAACAGCAGGCCUUCAAGAGAGAGCAGAGAAAGAGUUGG